CUUUAACUAACCUAGAACUUACCUUUCUUUUUGAUUCGAUAAGCAUCUAUUAUUAUUUAAUAAAUGGUAAAGCUGAUCUUGUCACUAUCGCCUUACUAGAACGUUUUUUGUCCAGGCUGGGUGAAAAGUCAGGAGCCGAAUACAGUCGAGCACUUCACUUAGCCGUGUACAAAGCCCGCUCCACGCCAUUGGUCAGCUCGGCUUCUAUGGAUUAUUCCGUCUUUUGUUUCGCCCUUAGAGGGAGGCAGAAUGGAGAGCGAAAGGGUUGAAUAGGGGCAAGACGGGGAGGCGAGAUGGGGAAUGGCCGCUGCUUGUAAUGACACUCGGACGGUCGUCUAUUGAGGCCGCUAUAGUCGAGUGUGAAUCAGGCUGGCGGAUAAAGGGACCCUACCAAGUGACCGCUGUCCAGCGUUGACCAAUCGGGAAGGGUGUUUGGAUGGACACACCCUUUAGGGUCAUUUCAGCGGGUAAGCGAUUCAAUUUGGCUGAAAAUCGAGGGGUAAAAAGUAAUCUUAUAUACAGGAGAAUUGGGAAGGGUUGCAUAAAAGGUUUUAUUUUUAUUUAAUAAAGUUAUUAUUUCGUUUUGUUUUUUAUUUCGCAUGUGUUAUUUUGAUAUUUUUUAUGUUUUUGUUUACGGUUUAAUUAAAAAUCGAG